GGCCAACCGUUCCCUGGGGACUGUGCACUGUUCUGCAUGUGAUGCGCCGAUGGCAUCUUUCCUGCAUCGGGCUACAUUGGCUCUUUCUCAGCGGUGCACAGUGCGUUUUCGGCAAUGAUGGCGCGGUCUACUGUGGCAUCCACCUCCGCGGAGUGAAUGCGCUCAUGCCUGAACUGAAGGAACCGAGUCGGCGUUGAGCAAAGCAACUCCAGGAAUGGUCGGAACGUGGCUGACCUGAAGAUUUGCGCAGUCUACUGUGGCAUCCACCUCCCCAAGGAAAGCACAGAAGUCGUGGUCGUUCCCAAGACACCGAAUCGACGUUAAGCAAAGGGAACUCGCGGUAUACGUCACUGCUGAGGCCAAUGCCGCUGGAACUUGCUCAGCGGUUUUGGGUGUCGACAGCUAUGGCACCGUGUUCCAGGUUCUGAACUUCGGCGAUAAGGUUCGACGUUUCGGGGUGAGGCCACUCAUUUGCGUGGAAGCGGACGGUGUCCACCCGCUGUGGCCGUCAGUCACGUGCUGCGAAGAUGCGCCGUUACGCACUCGUCCGCGACGGUUGCUGCCAUCGCUGCACCCCUGGCAAUAUGGAUGCAUGGUGGCCGACGUCGACGUUACCGGGGUCUAAAAAACUGCAAGGUGACGUAGACAGUCAUUGUCUAUGCGAAGUGACGAUCAGUCACGUGCAGUGGUGAAGUCACGUGAUCCUCAGUGACUCCGUCAUCGCUGCCUGCCUGCUGUCACGAUGGGUGAGUGGUCUAUGUGCUACGUCCCGCACGAAUCUUGACGUUUCGAUCUUUAUUGUGUUGAACUCUGAAUCACACGGAAUUUAUACGGGCAGAAAUUCGGGCUUCGGAGUUACUCAUAUUGCUCUAAACGUCAUUACGAAGCCAGCCUUUGAUGUGAAACUAAAGA